rnacentral:rRNA from 1 species
GACGAGGGAGCUUGCUCUCUUGAAGUUAGUGGCGAACGGGUGAGUAACGCGUAAUCAACCUGCCCUUCAGAGGGGGAUAACAACGGGAAACCGUUGCUAAUACCGCGUACGAUUCAUGAACGGCAUCGUUUAUGAAUGAAAGGUGGCCUCUAUAUAUAAGCUAUCGCUGAAGGAGGGGAUUGCGUCUGAUUAGCUAGUUGGAGGGGUAACGGCCCACCAAGGCAAUGAUCAGUAGCCGGUCUGAGAGGAUGAACGGCCACAUUGGGACUGAGACACGGCCCAAACUCCUACGGGAGGCAGCAGUGGGGAAUCUUCCGCAAUGGACGAAAGUCUGACGGAGCAACGCCGCGUGAGUGAUGAAGGUCUUCGGAUUGUAAAGCUCUGUUAAUCGGGACGAAAGAGUUCUGUGUAAAUAAUGCAGAAAAGUGGCGGUACCGGAAUAGAAAGCCACGGCUAACUACGUGCCAGCAGCCGCGGUAGUACGUAGGUGGCAAGCGUUGUCCGGAAUUAUUGGGCGUAAAGCGCGCGCAGGCGGCCCAUCCAGUCUGUCUUAAAAGUUCGGGGCUCAACCCCGUGAUGGGAUGGAAACUAGUAGGCUAGAGUAUCGGAGAGGAAAGCGGAAUUCCUAGUGUAGCGGUGAAAUGCGUAGAUAUUAGGAAGAACACCAGUGGCGAAGGCGGCUUUCUGGACGAAAACUGACGCUGAGGCGCGAAAGCCAGGGGAGCGAACGGGAUUAGAUACCCCGGUAGUCCUGGCCGUAAACGAUGGGUACUAGGUGUAGGAGGUAUCG